GUGCACAUGACCAACGUUGUAUAGGGAUAGAAAUUUGUCAAAUCAGACAGGAUUUGUUUCAAUGUCGAGUUUGCUGUGAGUGGAAGAAAAUAGGAACAAACAACAUUGAUGAACAUCCCGGAUGUAAAUACUUAGAAAUGGAAGAUAGGAGCAGUGAAAACUUAGCUAUGAAUGCCACAAUGAGCACGGCUUACAAUAUCAAC